UUUAAGAAGAAUAUUUUUAUUUCACAUGCUAGUUACCUUUAUUCUGUUUGAAACUAUCAGGAUAGAUGAUGUAAAACCAUUUCUUCUCAGACAAAUGUUUCUUUACUAAAUACCAUAAAUAGAAUUUUGUUGGACAAAUUGAGGAUGGCAAACUUGGCCUAUAUGUUCUUCUAAAAUUUGAAGCUGUGAUUAGGAUUGAGCCCUAAGUGAGCUGCGUUAAUGUACCAUCAUUAGCUAAUUUUCAAAAGGAAAUAAAUAGAGGUUCAAAGUGUAAAAACAUGACUGAAUGAGGUCACGCAGUCAUUUUAGUGUUUACUUUCUCUGAUGCACAGAAUUUGUAUCCUGUGCCAAAUUAUGUCAGGUAAUUGGAUGAUGAAAAAUAUGUUGAUUGAUAAAACAGUAUCAUUAUUAUUGGAUGUACUUACUGAAUCCUCAGAGGUAGAAGACAAAGGCUGGGAAAUUUUUAAUUUUUUGAAGAUUAAUAAUUAAUAACUAACUAGCAUUUUAUAUUUUAGCAAUAAAAACGUUCACUUAAGAGGCCAUUUUCAUUUCACUGAGAGAUCUAGGAAUAAUGCCUUUUUUCUUUAGUUUUUACACCCAAGACAAAUUUUCCUGUUUUGGGCAAACUACCCAUAUUUUCAAACAGUUGUUGUACCUUGUAUUCAAGAACUACUGUAAUGCAUUAGUGGUCUGGCUUCAUUUUGUAUGAUGCCAGAUCCUUAAUUUACCCAGCACAAUCAUUUCAGUAGUUUCCUAUGGCUCCUGCAAAAAUGCAAACAGAAACCACCACAGGAACAGCCCCUUGCUGCCUCCUGUUGCUGAGGUAGUAGUCGCUAAAGAAAAUUGAAGGCUCCUUACAAUCUAUAUUUGAAAACUAGAACUUCUGUAGAAACACACAGAUCCCGAUCUUAGAAGUUGUACAGGACAAUCUGGUAAAACUGACAUAAUUGUGAUUUAUUAACAUGAAUUAAAAUGCCCAACCAGUGCUUCAGUGUGACA
rnacentral:lncRNA from 1 species